GUAGCCCUAGUUUGGUUUGGUGGGCUUAGUGUCAGUCAGGAACACGGCGUCUUGAAUCCAAGCCCAAAGCUGCCCGGACUCUGGAAACCAACCUCAGACGUCGGUUUCGAACGAACGACGAAGACUAGGGCUUCGCCUUCUUCCGUGGCUCCGAUUCUGCCCUAGUUGCAGGAGAAGAGGAUGAAAGUCAACAUCUUGCGUGGCAUGCUGUCGCUUCAUGGACAUGGGAUGCACAAGAUGAAACAUGUGGGAUUUGCAGGAUGGCAUUUGAUGGGUGUUGUCCUGAUUGUAAGCUCCCAGGGGAUGAUUGCCCACUAAUUUGGGGUGCAUGCAACCAUGCUUUCCAUCUUCAUUGCAUCUUAAAAUGGGUAAAUUCACAGACUUCUCAGGCACAUUGCCCCAUGUGUCGCAGGGAGUGGCAAUUCAAAGGAUGAGAUAAAAGUUGAAAUCACUCUUCAAGUGCAGGGGUUGCCAAUGCGGGCUUCUAAUUGUUUGAUUGUAUUCUGGAUUAAGUGUACACCUCUGUAUAUCUACUGUGUAUUAGUUGAUGUAAACUAAAGUAGCUCCAUACUGGGUGAUCAUAAAAAUAUUUUUUUAACUGGUAA